rnacentral:rRNA from 1 species
AGAGUUUGAUCCUGGCUCAGAACGAACGCUGGCGGCAGGCUUAACACAUGCAAGUCGAACGCCCCGCAAGGGGAGUGGCAGACGGGUGAGUAACGCGUGGGAAUCUACCCAGAACUUCGGAACAACUGAGGGAAACUUCAGCUAAUACCGGAUACGCCCUACGGGGGAAAGAUUUAUCGGUUCUGGAUGAGCCCGCGUUGGAUUAGCUAGUUGGUGAGGUAAUGGCUCACCAAGGCGACGAUCCAUAGCUGGUCUGAGAGGAUGAUCAGCCACACUGGGACUGAGACACGGCCCAGACUCCUACGGGAGGCAGCAGUGGGGAAUAUUGGACAAUGGGCGAAAGCCUGAUCCAACCAUGCCGCGUGAGUGAUGAAGGCCUUAGGGUUGUAAAGCUCUUUCAGUAGGGAAGAUAAUGACGGUACCUACAGAGAG